GGAAAUUGUGCACUCAAGAAUGCUGUAUGAAACCAUGGGGUGUGUGUUCGCAUACGCAGAGGAUGCUUAUUUUGCAAGCAUUCCCCUGUAAGCCCACUAGGUCCAUGCUCCAAAAUUACCUAGCGGCACCUCUGAGGUAUGUUGGCAUCACAAAUAAUUUAAACCAAGAUCAGUCAGUGCUCUAAUACCGAAUGGAGUAUUAAGAAAUCGUGCCAAGUGACAUAGAAAUCCUGUUAGAGAACUCAGAAAGGGAGAUUUCUUUAUCUCCCCCAACUACAGCAGAAGUGCACAGGCUUGAAAUAACAAGACAGUCACAGUCAUCAUCGGCUGAAGAACUAGAUGGAGAACUGCAAAGUCCCCAAUAAAUUGUUGUGACCUACAAAAUCUAUGAAACCAAUUAGGCGCAACCAACUCGGGUCCUAUGAAUUUCAAAGGAAGGGCCAUUGGGGAAUGGACGAUAAGCUCUGGAUUUCAGAAAACGCUUCUGAACUUUAAGAAUCAUUCAACAGUGGAACCAAUUGCCCAUCACAAAUUUCAGGGGAAAAAAUAGAUGAGAUAAUACUAACAGAAAGAAGAGUGGUUAUUUCCUAUAAAUAGUUCACCAAAUGACGGCCGGAUUGCAGCUUUUGAUCAGCCACAGAGAUAGAUAUCUGAGAGAGUUCUAUACCUGCUGCAGUGUAUAUGUGGAACCCUUAUGUGCCUAAGUAGAAAAAGCAGCUCUAUGCGUGCAUGCAAGAUACACACCAGGUUGUUCCAUCUACUGAUUUGAAUGCAGAACUUCUUGCAACAGAGCCUCUACAUUUCUAAGA